GACGAACGCUGGCGGCGUGCUUAACACAUGCAAGUCGAACGAAGUGGCGAACGGGUGAGUAAUACGUGGGUAACCUGCCCUCCUUACUGGGAUAAGCCUUGGAAACUGGGUCUAAUACCGAAUAAAGGGGGCUGGGCUCGCGGCCUAUCAGCUUGUCGGUGGGGUGAUGGCCUACCAAGGCGGUGAAGGGUAGCCGGCCUGAGAGGGUGAGCGGCCACAUUGGGACUGAGAUACGGCACAGAGUGCUACGGGGGGCAGCAGGGGGGGAUAUUGCGCAAUGGGCGAAAGCCGGAUGCAGGGACGCCGCGUGGGGGAUGAAGGCUUGCGGGUUGGAAACCUCUUUCGAUAUCGAGCGGGUAGGUGGAGAAGAAGCGCCGGCUAACUACGUGCCAGCAGCCGCGGUAAUAC
rnacentral:rRNA from 1 species